rnacentral:antisense_RNA from 1 species
GAAAAAGGUUCCGGCCUCAGCCGGCGCACCUGGCGGAGGAGGAACCUCGCGACGCGCUCUCGGGCAUCGGUUUCUCCCAGCAAAGCUUGGAGGGUUUAGCUGCGCGGAGAGCUCAGCGAGCUCUUCUGUGUCUGUUUGGGGCGUGUGGGCUCCGGGAGCGUGAGGACCGGGAAGCUAGGAGGCUCCUUCCCUUCUGGCGGCUCCCUCACUGAGACCGGGCGGUUUGGUUGCGGGGGAAGUGGAGACGAGCCGCCCUUGACCUUUGACUGCAAGAACUCGCCUUGAGCAGGAUAGAGGCACGUGGACGGUGACCCUCGGGAUGCAAUAAAUGCUGAGACAGAUCAGGUGUGCAAGGCACAGAGCUAGAGGCCAGAGGCCUUUCUUCUCCAACCUUCAGUCACCUCUUUUUAAAGUGAAGCCAGCAUCCUCCUCGGGGUUUACUGUGAAAAUUAAGUGAGCUGACGCGUGCUGUGUUUUGAUGUUGCUUGGCUCCUACAAACAUUGAGUGGGCCAGACACUGUUCUGAAAAAUACGCAGUCGACUUUUGAACAGCACAGGCUUGAACUGCAUGCGGCCACUAAUACUCGGACUUUCUUCUGCCUUUGCCACCCCUAAGACAGCAAGACCCACCCCUCCUGCUCCUCAGCCUACUCGAUGUGAUGAUG